CUGGCGGCAUGCUUUACACAUGCCAGUCGAACGGCAGCACGGGAGCAAUCCUGGUGGCGAGUGGCGAACGGGUGAGUAAUACAUCGGAACGUGCCCAAUCGUGGGGGAUAACGCAGCGAAAGCUGUGCUAAUACCGCAUAAGAUCUACGGAUGAAAGCAGGGGAUCGCAAGACCUUGCGCGAAUGGAGCGGCCGAUGGCAGAUUAGGUAGUUGGUGAGGUAAAGGCUCACCAAGCCUUCGAUCUGUAGCUGGUCUGAGAGGACGACCAGCCACACUGGGACUGAGACACGGCCCAGACUCCUACGGGGAGGCAGCAGUGGGGAAUUUUGGACAAUGGGCGCAAGCCUGAUCCAGCCAUGCCGCGUGCAGGAUGAAGGCCUUCGGGUUGUAAACUGCUUUUGUACGGAACGAAAAGGUUCUUUCUAAUAAAGAGAGCUCAUGACGGUACCGUAAGAAUAAGCACCGGCUAACUACGUGCCAGCAGCCGCGGUAAUACGUAGGGUGCAAGCGUUAAUCGGAAUUACUGGGCGCAAAGCGUGCGCAGGCGGUGAUGUAAGACAGUUGUGAAAUCCCCGGGCUCAACCUGGGAACUGCAUCUGUGACUGCAUCGCUGGAGUACGGUAGAGGGGGAUGGAAUUCCGCGUGUAGCAGUGAAAUGCGUAGAUAUGCGGAGGAACACCGAUGGCGAAGGCAAUCCCCUGGGCCUGUACUGACGCUCAUGCACGAAAGCGUGGGGAGCAAACAGGAUUAGAUACCCUGGUAGUCCACGCCCUAAACGAUGUCAACUGGUUGUUGGGUCUUCACUGACUCAGUAACGAAGCUAACGCGUGAAGUUGACCGCCUGGGGAGUACGGCCGCAAGGUUGAAACUCAAAGGAGUUGACGGGGACCCGCACAAGCGGUGGAUGAUGUGGUCUAAUUCGAUGCAACGCGAAAAACCUUACCCACCUUUGACAUGUACGGAAUUUGCCAGAGAUGGCUUAGUGCUCGAAAGAGAACCGUAACACAGGUGCUGCAUGGCUGUCGUCAGCUCGUGUCGUGAGAUGUUGGGUUAAGUCCCGCAACGAGCGCAACCCUUGUCAUUAGUUGCUACAUUUAGUUGGGCACUCUAGUGAGACUGCCGGUGACAAACCGGAGGAAGGUGGGGAUGACGUCAAGUCCUCAUGGCCCUUAUAGGUGGGGCUACACACGUCAUACAAUGGCUGGUACAAAGGGUUGCCAACCCGCGAGGGGGAGCUAAUCCCAUAAAACCAGUCGUAGUCCGGAUCGCAGUCUGCAACUCGACUGCGUGAAGUCGGAAUCGCUAGUAAUCGUGGAUCAGAAUGUCACGGUGAAUACGUUCCCGGGUCUUGUACACACCGCCCGUCACACCAUGGGAGCGGGUUCUGCCAGAAGUAGUUAGCCUAACCGCAAGGAGGGCGAUUACCACGGCAGGGUUCGUGACUG
rnacentral:rRNA from 1 species